CUGUAGGGAAAAUGGAGGAAAUCGGGCCCUUUUCUCCUAGCCGCCAUAUUGCCCCGGCGAGGGACGAAGGAGCCAAGUGUUCCCUGAAAGUGACUAUGCAGGUGCAUGCGCAGUAGAAUGUGAUGCCUGCUGCCCCUUCGAUGACGUCUUGGCAAAUACCGGCUUUGUGUAGGGGGAUGUAAGAGGGACUUUCCGUGCCCCCGCUGGUGCUGCUUUUCGAUGCCAAUAAAGGGAUGUCUGACCAACCUGCAGCGCCUGGGCCCUUUUCUAGGUCGCCCGAAUCCAGGCUGCACCUGCCUGGUCUCGAGCGACUGCAAUACUAUUGGUGUAGUGGGCAGGAUUCGCCACAGUGGGGUAUGGAGACUUCGGGCCCUUUGGGAGGAGUGGAAGGGUGGUUGCCCAAGAGUAUGUGGUCCUGGGUGGCCAGCCUCUUCUCUGCCUGGGCGCCCUCCUGGGAAUAGCCCGAGAUGGACCGGUCCCCUGUAUAGACAGAGGAAGUCCUGCAGGGUGGGCUUUGGAAAAGCAGAGUGCCUGCUGGGCCGCCGGGGCUGUGGGUGGGUGUUCCUUACAGCCCUGAAGGCAGAGUCAGAGGCCACGCUGAGUGAAUCUGCUGGGCAUGAGAGUUGCAGGAGGAAGUGGUUGUCCUCAGCAAGAGUUUGGAAACUUGACAGGAGGGGUGCUGAUCCCAAGAGGACCCGUCCACCCCCACUGAGAUGAGAGAGCCUUCGGAUGAGGAAGAGGAAGCUCCUACCCCCGCUGAGUCUGUAGUGACUCAGAAGGUGAAGCAACAGCCGCCAAUGGCCCCAGGGGGUCAUGCUGCUGAGCCCCCACAGACGACAGAAUUCACCGCUUACGCCCUUACACUCAGGAGGAAAUUACGGGGACUGCAGCUGAGCUAGAAGAGAUGGGUGUCAUACGGACGGCUCAGAGCCCUUGUAACUCACCUGGAUGGCUGGUGUGAAGCGGGGCAACACAUCUGAAGUCACGGGGCUGGCAAUCGAUGAAGCCAACUUGCAGGGGCCUGGAUCGUCGGUCAAGUCUGAGCAGUUGUCUGGUCAGGGAUCCAUCACAUCGCACUGAAACGCAGAGUGAGCCACGCCUGUUCUGUCUAUGCCUGCUUUUCCCACCAGCCACAGGUCAGGAGUCUAAAAGAAAACAAAAGUUGUCAAAAAGAUAGACACUACUGGAGUUCCCGUCGUGGUGCAGCGGAAACGAAUCCAACCAGGAACCAUGAGGCUGUGGGUUCGAUCC